AGCAUAUUUAAGGAGUACUAGAACACAUUAAAUUACUUGGUGUUUAUGUAUAAGAUAGCGUAUCUUUCACAACGGUUAGCUACAAACGUCCUACAAUAUAAGUAUCAGCAAGACAGAAAACCUUUUAAACUGUGACGUGCGAAAUUCAAGCACUUCACUUUCUGGGAGCCCAUCUCAUUAUGUUUGUUGACAGAGGAGCUAAAUUGGUUCAUCUUGUUCGCAGUUUCUCGUUAGACUAUCUCCGCAUCCAUCUACCCUUGUUUUCGCUUGCGGACAUCUUCGUGUGGUUUCGGCUUUGAUCGAGUGAAGGCCCCCGUCGUCUUCGUGGCUUGGUCUAAACGCCGAGCCCUAUGGCGUCGUCACUGGAUCCUCUCACACUGACUGAUAACUCGCCAAGGAGAAGGUCUUUCUGGUACAGAGCCGUGUUUUAGCCCACACCUGCGUAACCCAGGCAUGGCAUUGCACUGAUGUAUAUCGAGGCAAAGCCGUAAAACGUAGCGUGGAUUUGAUGUGGAUUUUAAUACCGCGCAUCGCUUCAUCGGCGGCUGGUUCCCAGUGCAUAUAGGUAUCAACAGAGAUAAGUAAACCAUAAACUGGCAUCUAUCAUGUCAUGACAACUGGAACGAGCAUUCAGCCAAUGUAAUUAGUUGUCGUUGUAGUUCAUAAUUCAGACGUUGCGAGAUGUGACAAAUCCAUGCCCAAUAAAUACAGUAAUUGUAAACCACAAGCAUAGCGGGAUAUGUAGUAGUGUGUAACCAGGCCGCUAGUAUUUCCGUGGUGUGCUUACAGUGUUAUGGUGUGGCAAUAGUAGUAGUAGUAGUAGUAGUAGUAGUAGUAGUAGUAGUAGUAGUAGUAGUAAUAGAAGCAGUAGUAGAAGUAGUAAUAGUAGUAGUAGUAGUAAUAGUAGUAGUAAUA